AUGUAGAGCCCUGAGCGGAGUGCUUGCGGACGCGGGUUCGAUUCCCGCCGCCUCCACCA
rnacentral:tmRNA from 1 species